UACGUAGGGUGCAAGCGUUAAUCGGAAUUACUGGGCGUAAAGCGUGCGCAGGCGGUGAUGUAAACCAGGUGUGAAAUCCCCGGGCUUAACCUGGGAACUGCAUUUGUGACUGCAUCGCUGGAGUGCGGCAGAGGGGGAUGGAAUUCCGCGUGUAGCAGUGAAAUGCGUAGAUAUGCGGAGGAACACCGAUGGCGAAGGCAAUCCCCUGGGCCUGCACUGACGCUCAUGCACGAAAGCGUGGGGAGCAAACAGG
rnacentral:rRNA from 1 species